AGUGUUUGAUCCUGGCUCAGAUUGAACGCUGGCGGCAGGCCUAACAACAUGCAAGUCGAGCGGUAACACAGGGAGCUUGCUUCCGGGUGACGAGCGGCGGACGGGUGAGUAAUGUCUGGGAAACUGCCUGAUGGAGGGGGAUAACUACUGGAAACGGUAGCUAAUACCGCAUAACGUCGCAAGACCAAAGAGGGGGACCUUCGGGCCUCUUGCCAUCAGAUGUGCCCAGAUGGGAUUACCUAGUAGGUGGGGUAACGGCUCACCUAGGCGACGAUCCCUAGCUGGUCUGAGAGGAUGACCAGCCACACUGGAACUGAGACACGGUCCAGACUCCUACGGGAGGCAGCAGUGGGGAAUAUUGCACAGUGGGCGCAAGCCUGAUGCAGCCAUGCCGCGUGUAUGAAGAAGGCCUUCGGGUUGUAAAGUACUUUCAGCGGGGAGGAAGGCGA
rnacentral:rRNA from 1 species